UACGGGGGGGGCAAGCGUUGUUCGGAAUUACUGGGCGUAAAGGGUUCGUAGGUGGCUCGCUAAGUCAGACGUGAAAUCCCUCAGCUUAACUGGGGAACUGCGUCUGAGACUGAUGAGCUUGAGUGCAGGAGAGGAACGCGGAAUUCCAGGUGUAGCGGUGAAAUGCGUAGAUAUCUGGAGGAACACCGGUGGCGAAGGCGGCGUUCUGGACUGCAACUGACACUGAGGAACGGAAGCCAGGGGAGCAAACGGG
rnacentral:rRNA from 1 species